CAGUCGCCGCGGGAACACGAAGGGUGCAAGCGUUAAUCGGAAUUACUGGGCGUAAAGCGUGCGUAGGCGGUGAGUUAAGUCUGCUGUGAAAUCCCCGGGCUCAACCUGGGAAUGGCAGUGGAUACUGGCUCGCUAGAGUGUGUCAGAGGAUGGUGGAAUUCCCGGUGUAGCGGUGAAAUGCGUAGAGAUCGGGAGGAACAUCAGUGGCGAAGGCGGCCAUCUGGGACAACACUGACGCUGAGGCACGAAAGCGUGGGGAGCAAACAGGAUUAGAUACCCCGGUAGUCCCUGUCUCUUAUAC
rnacentral:rRNA from 1 species